rnacentral:miRNA from 1 species
AGAAAUGCCUCCACGAGAUCCAGCUGUAAGGCAUUUUCUCAAUUAGUGAUCAAGGAGGAGAGGCCCUUUUGGGUGGUGCCAUCUCAGGGCUGGUAGUCUUG